GACUACCCUAGGCUUCCCUUUAAGCCCAGCAGAUUUAGUCUUGCUGCGACCCCAACCCAACCCAAACCCGAAAGCCCUAACCCUAAUCUUUCUUCCCCAAUUCCGGCGGGUGCUAAGGUGUGGCCUUCUUCGUUCACCGAGGAAGAGGACGACGAGUUACUUCCUUUCACCGGUAAUAACCUUCGAUGUCCUCACGGAAGUAACCAAUAAGAGGGCUCUCGUGACUAAAUCGAGAGGCCUCUCCAUCUAGCAUUUGCGUUAUUGCAUUGCCCGGUAACAAGUGUCGGUGCGUGCUCCAUCGAUCUCUGCUCCUGUUCUUCCCUCAGCCCCCUCGCUCUCACCUGCUGCACUACUCAGCUCACUCGCGUUGCGUAGGUCACAAUUCACACCGCAGCGCAUCAUACGCAAUAAAAUUUCUCUUAGCUUUCGUUCGGAAGCAGAGAUGAAGUAGUUUUUUUCUUUACAUGGUAUAGAGGGGGUUUGUUGAGACCACGAUCGAUGCUACUUUCUCGCCAGUGAUAAGUGGUUGCCUUUAUAAGUUUAUCUUAUGUAUAUAACUAUAGUCUUUAGGUUUGUUAAGUUGGUGCCGCCCUGAUCGAAGCAGAGAUGCCACACGAAUAUGCCCUCCUCCGUCCAUAGCGCCAUCACCUGCGUAACUUCAGAUGGCGCCGCACUGUUGAGACAAUUACGCCGGGUUGUGUUGUCAUGAGUGUUCCAAAUAUAACACGCCGAGAUACCCUCCAACUUUGCCAUAUCCUAUCCUAACACACGGUAUGAUCCAAUUAAAGCUAGCUAGUAUUACAUCACAUACAGGUUAAUCAUCAGGUAUACAUAGCAGGGUGAAAAACAGGCCAAUUGGUUCGUGCAAGGAAUCAAAAGAGUAGAUCAAUGCUGCCAUGAAGUAGAUGCCUGGCGACUGACUGCACCUAAUAUGGCCAAACAGGCCUUCGGUUCUCCCUCUUGGUUUCCACGGCCAAUAGGACUGUAGGAGCCUAGCUAGUGGAUAAGGAUGGACAGUCAGCAUGCAUAAAACAUCCAUCCAGUAGAUAAACAAAUAGGAAAAAGAACUGCUAAUGUCAGAUCUGUUUGGUCUGAUUUUUUCAAAGGAGAUGGUAGAAAAAGGAGGACCAAUGCUUGGUGAAGGGGACCAAUCCAUCUGGUUGUUGUGUAUGUGCACCAGCUAGAGACACUCGAUCUAAAACGUCUUACUUAC
rnacentral:lncRNA from 1 species